rnacentral:rRNA from 1 species
AUUGAACGCUGGCGGCAGGCCUAACACAUGCAAGUCGAGCGAGCGGCGGACGGGUGAGUAAUGUCUGGGUAACUGGCUGAUGGGGGGGGGUUAAUACUGGAAACGGUAGCUAAUAACGCAUACAAUCAGAACUGCGACGAUGGGAUUAGCUAGUUGGUGGGGUAACGGCUCACCUGGGCGACGAUCCCUAGCUGGUCUGAGAGGAUGAGCAGCCACACUGGAACUGAGACACGGUCCAGACUCCUACGGGAGGCAGCAGUGGGGAAGAUUGCACAAUGGGCGCAAGCCUGAUACAGCCAUGCCGCGUGUGUGAAGAAGGUCUUCGGGUUGUAAAGCACUUUCAGCGGGGAGGCGUUACCCACAGAAGAAGCACCGGCUAACUCCGUGCCAGCCGCCGCGGUAAUAC